UCUCCGUAGGUGAACCUGCGGAGGGAUCACUACAGACUUGCAAAAGCUCUUAAACCACUGUUUAUCUACCUGAAUCUGCUUCGGCGGGUCGCCCCGGGGCGGGGGCGCAACCGCAAGGCGCCCGCCGAAGACCCCUAAAUUCUGUCGUCUUGAGAGUUCUUGGGGAUUAGAUUAAACAAAAAAAACUUUCAACAACGGAUCUCUUGGCUCUG
rnacentral:misc_RNA from 1 species